GUGAGGAAUAUUGGUCAAUGGGCGCAAGCCUGAACCAGCCAUGCCGCGUGCAGGAAGACGGUCCUAUGGAUUGUAAACUGCUUUUAUUUGGGAAUAAACUCCGGUACGUGUACCGGCCUGAAGGUACCAAAUGAAUAAGCACCGGCUAACUCCGUGCCAGCAGCCGCGGUAAUACGGAGGGUGCAAGCGUUAUCCGGAAUCAUUGGGUUUAAAGGGUCCGCAGGCGGUCUUAUAAGUCAGUGGUGAAAGCCUACAGCUCAACUGUAGAACUGCCAUUGAUACUGUAGGACUUGAAUUCGAUCGAAGUGGGCGGAAUGUGACAUGUAGCGGUGAAAUGCUUAGAUAUGUCACAGAACACCGAUAGCGAAGGCAGCUCACUAGGUCUGGAUUGACGCUCAGGGACGAAAGCGUGGGGAGCAAACAGGAUUAGAAACCCCUGUAGUCC
rnacentral:rRNA from 1 species